rnacentral:lncRNA from 1 species
UCUUGCUCUUGCUCCUUCGCCUGCUUGCUGUGUGAGACUGAGUAACUGCUAGAUCCUUGGACUUCACAGCUGCGACUGAACAAUUGUUGGGAAUUGGGCUGCCGACUACAUAAUAUAAUUACUAUAAGCAGCUACAGUAAAGAAUGGUCUGGAAUCACACGGGAAGCCAUUCUUAGAAGUUUCGUCUCUCCAUCUUCUUGCAAAUGUGACCCUCACAAAACUAUACUGAAGCAAGGAAAUAAUUAUUCCAGCAGAUCCUGGGAGUAAAUGGCGCUGUGUGAUAAUCCAGAGCCAACAGAAUUACUAGAGAAACGAGUUCUGAAAAAAGACAGGCAAUUACCUAAAAUUAGAUCAAGCCAAAACUGCAGUUCAGUAAAUCCUGUUGCUAAAUUAUCUCCAGCAAGCCAAGCAUCGAAUAAUACUGUGUUCUAGAGAAUUAAAAACAGAAACAAAGUCUUCAAAACAGUUCAGCCCCUCAUGGGAUGCUACUGACCGCCUUUAAGAUGAGCUUCCCAUCCUCAGCUAAAUGGCUCUGGAAAUUUCCACACAGGCACCAAGAAAGGUGAGCAACCCCAGUGAAGGCUCCUCCUCCUGUGAGGUCCUGCAAGUCUGGGGUUGUGGUGAGGGACUCUUAUUGGUAAUAACAGUUUAUCAGAA